rnacentral:misc_RNA from 1 species
GAUGAAGAACGUAGCGAAAUGCGAUAAGUAGUGUGAAUUGCAGAAUUCAGUGAAUCAUCGAAUCUUUGAACGCACAUUGCGCCCCCUGGUAUUCCGGGGGGCACGCCUGUUCGAGCGUCAUUACAACCCUCAAGCUCUGCUUGGUAUUGGGCCCCGCCAGUUCUGGCGGGCCCUAAAGUCAGUGGCGGUGCCUUCCGGCUCCGAGCGUAGUAAUUCUUCUCGCUCUGGAGACCCGGUUGUGUGCUUGCCAACAACCCCCAAUUUUUUAAGGUUGACCUCGGAUCAGGUAGGGAUACCCGCUGAACUUAAGCAUAUCAAUAAGCGGAGGA